rnacentral:tRNA from 1 species
UGCGGGGUAGAGCAGCCUGGUAGCUCGUCGGGCUCAUAACCCGGAGGUCAGAGGUUCGAAUCCUCUCCCCGCUA